rnacentral:rRNA from 1 species
CCAGACUCCUACGGGAGGCAGCAGUGGGGAAUAUUGGACAAUGGGGGGAACCCUGAUCCAGCGACGCCGCGUGAGCGAUGAAGUAUUUCGGUAUGUAAAGCUCUAUCAGCAGGGAAGAAGAUGACGGUACCUGACUAAGAAGCCCCGGCUAACUACGUGCCAGCAGCCGCGGUAAUACGUAGGGGGCAAGCGUUAUCCGGAUUUACUGGGUCUAAAGGGAGCGUAGACGGCGAUGCAAGCCAGAUGUGAAAGCCCGGGGCUCAACCCCGGGACUGCAUUUGGAACUGUGUGGCUGGAGUGCAGGAGGGGCAGGCGGAAUUCCUGGUGUAGCGGUGAAAUGCGUAGAUAUCAGGAGGAACACCGGCGGCGAAGGCGGCCUGCUGGACCGUGACUGACGUUGAGGCUCGAGAGCGUGGGGAGCAAACAGGAUUAGAUACCCCGGUACC